rnacentral:miRNA from 1 species
AGGGCUUGGCGCGCGCC